AGAAGAGAAGAGGUGGGACAGAGCUGAGCCUCUCCUCCCUGCCCCCAAGGAAUGAAAUGAGCAGGAGGAGAUGUUACUGCUGUCAGACGUCUUGCUCCGAAUCUCUCUCAGAAAAGUUCAAGGACCAUAUUGGGAUCCAGAGUGGUGAUGCACUGAACUGAAUUUUCCUGCUCUACUGCACGGAGAGAGGUUCUCUGCUGACACAUAAACCUUUUAUUGAUGCAAAAACUUGCAGAAUUCCCCCGGGAAAAAGGAUACCAAAACUGGGGAAAGGUCGUGUUCCUCCUGAGCCAAUCCCAUCCACUUUGGGGCUGACUAGGCUGCUUCUGGGCCCUCUCAAUGGAGUGGAAUUAGCAGGAAGCUGACAGCACUACACCAUUACUUCUGGUGAACUUACCAAGGUUAUUAUUUACACGGUUGCCAUAUUCCCAAGACUCCAUCAUAAAUGAGCUGCAAAACCCAGUGGUGUGUCCUGGUCAGGUAAAUAAAUGAAGACAAAAUACUCUACGUGAUCUUGCCGUUCACAUUUCGUAUCCAGUGUGUUUUAUGUCUGGUAGAUAAGCUCAAUAAAUGUUAUGUUUUAUGCAUUUGUGCCACAAAUUUUCCAUUUGAUUCCUAAUGGUUCAUGAAAUGUCUUCUGCAAACCUUUGAGGGGCUGUCAGACUGAACCAUGGAAAAUAUAUUUCCUACUAAAUUCAUUUUUCACAGUUUUACUGUAUCAUGUUUAUCCUGUUCUUACUUCUCUAAACUGUAUAGAUUGCAAAAUUUUAUAUUUUGGACCUGAUCUGCCUCUUGUUUGUAGGAGUCACUCCACAGAAGCCAGCAGGUUUACACUGACACAAAAUGGGUGUGAA